CAGAACAUAGCUUAAAAAAGCACCUCGCUUACACCGAACUGUUGUCUGCCAAACCCAGACUGUUCUGAG
rnacentral:tRNA from 1 species